CUUUUACCUCACAAAUAUUCUCAAUUUCUCAUACUCUCUCUUAAUAUUUUUAUACUCUGUCUAAAUAUUUAUAGUUAUUGUAUUAGUUAGAGUAGAAAUUUUUUUAAGGAUAUUACAAGCUUCAAUUAUCAUCUUUUAAUUCCGAUAUUUGGUAUACGUCUGCUUUUACGCAGACGUUCGGUAUAUUCGUUCCAAAUUUAAUCUCUUUUUUAUUUACUUUAAUAUCUAUAUUUUAUUUUUUAGUAUCUACAUUUGUUUACUUACAUUAAUUUUUGAUUUAUAAUAUUUAUAUUGCUUGUUUUAAUAUUUUAAUUUUAUUUAAAAUGGUCAUGAACAAACCAGAGAACAAAAACAGACUUCUCACCAAAACUGGCCAUAAGAUAUAUAUUUAAAUAAAGACCACUAUCUUAUGGCACAUUUCUUUUUUUAACUGAUGGAUAUAUUUAGAAUAUAGGUACACACAGGCAUGUGCAAGUAAAAGAAUUUCACAAGUUUGACCAUUCAUCAGAAAAUCAAAAAGUUCCACAAGAAGCAUAAACCAUCCACUAUGAAGGGAAUAUUGUGGGGCCAAAAGCUGCAAUUAAAACAGCAAUAACCUGUUGGCAAUAUUGCAAUUCCCUUGUCAUAUUGAGCUAUUACACAUUUUGGGUAUUCACUGACAACCAUGCGCAUGUGAGUUCUGCAAAAACAAAGUCAACUUCAAGCCCGCAUAAAGGAUCAUUUCCGUAGGUUGGAGGCCAGCAUACACAUAGCCCGACUAUGAUGAAUCCUCCAACUAUGCGUGGACCUAAAUAAAGCUGAAUAGAUAAAAUUAAAUGUUUUGUUGGAGAAGAGGAAUUAGAAAAAGACGUAAGGCUUGGAAUUUUGUCCCUCUUGCGUUGAUGUGGGUUGUUUGGAUAGAGAGAUAUAGAAGAACUUUUGAGGGGGUAGAGUCUAGUUUUUCUCAGGAGGAGAAAGGAAUUCAAAGGUAAUAUAUAAACACAAGUACGUACAAAGGAUUUAUUACAAGUACGAGAAUAGUAGAAAGAAUAUAGAGGAGCUUCCACAACCAUAUGUUUCCCUAGAGAUCUUCCGAGAGCCCCUACAGCCCUACUUGCUACGGAUGAGCUAAUUACUAGUAGAUAAGAUGAGAUUCUAUCAUGCAUACUAUCUGCAGAUGAUAUUCUAUUAAUGGCCUGCUAAGCAAAUAACUGUAGUUGCACGAGAUUCUGUUCCCAGUACCCACCUCCAUGGUUUCAACUAUGCACUUGUAAUUUCAUAGAGCAUCUUCAAUGGAUAUUUCUGGGCAACAACAGCAUGUCAAUCAAUUGCAAAUUCUAUAGUGAUGGAUUUUUCCUUGACGAAGUCACCGAACAUCAUACUAUACAAGGAGUUGCGCGUGGAGUCCAACAAAUGUGCAGUAAAAUCCUAUUGAAAUUAACUGCCGCGAAUCAGACUACUAAGGAAUCAUAGAGAGAUUCAACUGAAGCAAGAGGAGAAAUAGCUAAGCUACUAGAGACUGGUCAGGAAGCUACUAUUGGAAUUCGGGUAUAAACUAAUCAUGUUUUGCUUAAAUUCCUCAAUCAAUGCUAAUAUCAUUUUUGCAACGCUCUGUGUACGCAUUUAUAUACUGAAAGGUAACCAAGUAUUUUGAUAGAUGAUUUUACAGUGCGAUGAUCUUGGUUCUGUUGUUUGCUUAUUUAGUGAGAGAAGAGAGAAUGAUGGCAACAUAGGAGAUAGCCGAGCUAUUCUGUCAGCUAAUACAUGUUCCGUCUUCCAAGUACUGAAGCACAAAGAUAAUGAGUUAUCUCUGUUGUGUUGAUGUUUUGGACCAAAAACACGAGCGCAUAUGUUUAUUCUUGCCCGAAUAUAGAUUCUGGUUGGGUUUCUAUCUCUGGGUUGACCCGAAAAACUCCAAAAUUCCCUCUCUUCUCAAUAACCUAACCCCCAUUUAAAUUGCCCUAAGCCCCCAAAAUAAAUUAACUCUCCAUUUUUCUUCGGCCAAUCACCGGUACAAAAUCCUUCGACUUCCUUGCCAGUAAACCAGUCACACCGAAAAAACAAAAAUCUAUUACCCAGUGAAAAACAGGUUGAGGAAAGUCAUCGUAUAUUGUUCUCAUCGAAAUGAGUCACUGAGUCGACUUGGAUAACUUGAGAAAGUCGGACUUAAAAUGAUCUCUGUGUUUAUUUUUCUGAAAAUUGAUGCGUUUGCAGCUUACUUUGCUUUUCUUUUUUUUUUUUUGUGUGUGUUGAUGCAGUUUGGGGAGUUUGCUAGCUGAGCUGAAAGUUGACAAGAGUAGCAAAGAGUGAAUUUUGUGAGGGGAAUGAGCUUGAGUUCUCCUCAUUCCUACUGAUCACGGUUACUGCUUGCUUGAGAGUUUUGGAGGUGUUACUUUUGAUUGGUUGCAUUGGCCAGAGUCAUUGAGUAUAGAUAAAAUCACUUGAUGUGAAAAAAGACAUUGAUUUGUUGAAGUUGCACGCACAAUCCACAUCUCUACAAUACUUUUGAAGAAA